AAUUUUUACAAAUUUUUAAAGUUGCCUAAAUUUAAUCCACUUAUAUUCACUGAGUUCUCAACUUAUCAAUCACAGAAUGUGUCAGUAGCCAAACCAGUUCUUUCAUCUCCCUCUCGUACUAUAGGAGGAGGAGGGAUAGUGUCACCAUCUCCUACCAGUUCAAUGAGUAGCACAUCAACUGAUAGUAAUAAGUCUCUUGGUUUGUCUGAGAUUUGGUGUCAGUGUCUACAAAAGUGUCUGGACCUUGUAAACAUUUAUUGUCCAGCAAUGAUGAAGAAACACUUAACAUAAUGAUUAAUGAGAGAGAAGGAGAAAUGAAGAUUAAAGAAAGAAGUGGAAUGAAAUACAUUGACUCUUUCAUCAAGAAAAAAUGAAAUUAUUAUUUUACUCUUGCUCCGACAUUUCCUAAAUUUUGAAUAGUUUAGCAAUGAGAAGUAAAGUCCUUGAGACAGUCUGAU